GUCGAACGGGGUUAUCAUUUUUGAAGCGAUUAGCUUGCUAAGAGUGGAAAAGUUGAUAACUUAGUGGCGGACGGGUGAGUAACGCGUGGGUAACCUGCCUUACACAGGGGGAUAACACUUAGAAAUAGGUGCUAAUACCGCAUAAGCGCACAGUCCCGCAUGGGACAGAGUGAAAAACAUUAGUGGUGUAAGAUGGACCCGCGUCUGAUUAGCUUGUUGGCGGGGUAACGGCCCACCAAGGCGACGAUCAGUAGCCGGCCUGAGAGGGUGGACGGCCACAUUGGGACUGAGACACGGCCCAAACUCCUACGGGAGGCAGCAGUGGGGGAUAUUGGACAAUGGGGGAAACCCUGAUCCAGCGACGCCGCGUGAGUGAAGAAGUAUUUCGGUAUGUAAAGCUCUAUCAGCAGGGAAGAAAGAAAUGACGGUACCUGAGUAAGAAGCCCCGGCUAACUACGUGCCAGCAGCCGCGGUAAUACGUAGGGGGCAAGCGUUAUCCGGAAUUACUGGGUGUAAAGGGAGCGUAGACGGUAAUGCAAGUCUGGAGUGAAAGGCGGGGGCCCAACCCCCGGACUGCUCUGGAAACUGUGUAACUGGAGUGCAGGAGAGGCAGGCGGAAUUCCUAGUGUAGCGGUGAAAUGCGUAGAUAUUAGGAGGAACACCAGUGGCGAAGGCGGCCUGCUGGACUGUAACUGACGUUGAGGCUCGAAAGCGUGGGGAGCAAACAGGAUUAGAUACCCUGGUAGUCCACGCUGUAAACGAUCGAUACUAGGUGUG
rnacentral:rRNA from 1 species